rnacentral:rRNA from 1 species
GAUGAACGCUGACAGAAUGCUUAACACAUGCAAGUCUUUGGCGAAGCUGUGCUUGCACAGCCUAGCCAAGGCGGACGGGUGAGUAACGCGUAAGGAACUUGCCCUGCAGUCAGGGAUAACAGACGGAAACGACUGAUAAGACCUGGUAAAGUCAGGCGGACUCAUGUCCAGCCUGAUGAAAAGAGAUGCUGCAGGAGAGCCUUGCGUCCUAUUAGCUUGUUGGUGGGGUAACGGCCCACCAAGGCGAUGAUAGGUAGCCGGCCUGAGAGGGUGGACGGCCACGAGGGGACUGAGAUACGGCCCUUACUCCUACGGGAGGCAGCAGUGGGGAAUAUUGGACAAUGGGGGCAACCCUGAUCCAGCAAUUCUGUGUGCACGAUGAAGGUUUUCGGAUUGUAAAGUGCUUUCAGCAGGGAAGAAAAAAAUGACGGUACCUGCAGAAGAAGCGACGGCUAAAUACGUG